AGAUUUGUGACGGUUUACAAGCGCUGGGGCUUGCCAACAUAUUUCAAAUAUGUGCUUGGCCUCCCAGCCGCAUCCACAUUCCCCUUAUCACUCCGGUGGAGGAGUCAGAGAUCCCAGCCAAGGCGUCACUUUCCCUUCUCCGAGUCCGCCUGCCGCCAGCGGAGCCCUCCGCCCCGCGCUCCUUCGCAGCCUCAGCCUCGGGUGUGUGUCCAGGGGCCGCUUGCAUAAACUCUGUGUUACAUGAGAACACUGAGAUCCAGAGCUGGUGGCAGAGACAGGAUUCGAACUCUGGCUGUCAGGCCCCCAGCCUGUGUGCGCUUUGGUCAUCACUGCCGACCGAAAUCACAGCUCCACCCGCGUUCCUCUCUGCUUGGGUUUGCAUAUUCAGCUGGAGAAAAGUGAUUUAAAACAGGAACACCCACGGUGGCCCUGAGUCUGCCUAAGUUCUGGAAGCGGGGCAGCCUCAGGACUCUGAACUUGGCUGGUGUUUUCCCCUAGCCCCAGGGGCCCAGGGACCAGGAUUUGGCCUGUCUUAGGCCCCAAACCACCUGCUCGGCCCAGCGUCCAGCCGGCCUGUGUGUGAGUGAGGCAGAGAGGGGACCCUCCGCCGUCCUUAUAUACCGGGGUUAUUUUUAACCCGGCCUUCCAGAACAUUACGGAGCUUCCUCUCUCCGACUCGCAGGAAGCCCUACUUGGCUGUGUUUCCUGCUAACACGCGGCCCUGAGAUUGCUGAGAACAACAGGCUCAAGACUGCUCGGCUCCGGGGAAAAAAAAAAACCUGGCCCCCUUUCAAAGCCCUGACAAAACCUUUUAAGAGCCCAGCGCUCCCGCCAGCCAGAGCAUGGCCCCCAUAGGGCUGACAGAUUGGUCCAGACUGUGUCCAGGGCCCCCAGGCAGGGGGCCCCCAACUCCAUCACCCCUUCCCAAGGUGGGUAGAAAAACCUGUGCCCUCCACCCCACCCCCACCACGCCCCUUGGAGAGACAAAUACUUGCCUUGGUGGAUUUUUUUAUGCUUUUGUUUUUUUUUUUAAUUUUUACCUGUGUAUUUUUACUGAGGGGAAAUUCACGUAACAUAAAAUUAGUCAUUUUCAAGUGGAAAAUUUGGUGGCAUUGAGUCCAUUCUCCAUGCUGUGCAACUAUCACCUCUACCGAGUUCCAAAACAUUUCCACCACACCAAAAGGAAAUCCAGUCCCCAUCAGCAGUCACUUCCCAUUCCUCCUCCUCCAGCCCCCCGCAACCACUGAUCUGCUUUCUGUCUCUAUGGGUUGGCCUGUCGUGGACAUUUCUUAGAGAUGGAAUCGUGCGUUGUGUGGCUUCUAGCGUCUGUCUUCUCUCCCAUAGCAGUUUUUGAGGUUCAUCUACCCUGCAGGAUGAAUCAGCGCUUCACUCCUUUUUAUGACUGAGUACUGUUCCACUGCAUGGAGGCCCCUGUGUUUUGUGUUAUCCACCCCACUGUGUUCUUCUGUUUGUUUUGGCGGCAGCAUGCAAGAUUUUAGCUCCCCGACCAGGGACUGAAUCCAUGCCCCCCUGCGGUGGGAGCAGUGGAAGCCAGAGUCUUGACUACUGGACUGCCAGAGAAGUCCCUACUUGUUGAUGGAUGGAUGUUGCUUUCCAACAUACUUUGAAGGCUUAGGUUCAGAAGAAACUAUUUUUGUCAAUGCUGUGUCAUUUUUUUCUUGAAAGUGUGGCCGUUUGAGAGCAGAGCGAGUCAUCCAUAGUGUCUGCGAUUUGGCAGCAGGUGUGGAGGCAAAGCGCUUGGCGACAGAGGCAUCUCAGCACUUCCGUUCUGGUUUGACCUGUUAUUCCCGUGGUCUUCUGUGCGCAGUGAUGGUUUCUCACGGGUGGGCAGUGAGCUGUUGGGGGCAGCUAGGAUCUGGUUCAAUCCAGCCUCCUUUGCUUAACAACCGUGGGACGCUGGACAAAGCCCUUUGGUUCUCUUAAAGCCUAAAACCCUUAUUCUUUGACAUCAGCCCCCAGUAUCCAGAGAUCUUUGUGCUGGGAGGGCCCUCUCCUUUGCAGAUGAAGAAACCGAGACUUAAAGAGGGCGUAUGACUUGCCCAGGGUCUCAGGGGUACAAGAAGCUCAGAGGUGGGGCUCCCCUGGUGGUCCGGUGGUUAAGACUCUAUGCUUCCACUUCAGGGGGUGCAGGUUCGAUCCCUGGUCGGGGAACUAAGAUCCCACAUGCCAUGUGGUGAGCCAAAGGGGGAAAAAAAGGAAACAAAACAAAAAAAAUGCCAGGGAUGCAGCCCCAGCUUGAUUUUGGGUGGGCUCCUCUCCUGGUUGGGGGCUGGCAUGCUUGUGAGCAGCCUUCUCCUGACCCUCCUGGGGUCCUUUCUUUGGCCCCUCAGAGGAGCCACUGCCUCCUUUUCCAGUUUUUCUUGUCAGUACCUCCUGGAGUCACCCAUCCUGUUGUUUGCUCCUUUGUGGCUUUGUCUCAGAUAAGAUCUUGUCACCAUGUCUAAAGACAUUUGCUUGAGUCAAUGGUUCUUACCUGAUGGAGAUUCUGCGCUCCAGGGGAUGUCUGGCAAUGUCUGGGGACAUUUUUUGUUGUCACAACUUGGGGUAGAGGGUGCUAUUUGCUUUGAGUGGGUAGAGACCAGAGAUGUUGUUCAACAGCCUACAGGGCCCAGGAUGUCCCCUACCCACAGGGAUGAUGGACCCCAAAUGUCAGCACUGACAUGAGAGAGACCCUGCCUCAACAUGCAAGAGAUCCUGUUUGCUGUCUGCCUAUCAUCAACCAGUCUAUCAUCUGUCAAUUGAUCAUCUAGUUAUCGUCUUUGAAUCAUCAAUCAAUCAUCUAUCAGUUAUGUAUCUACCAUCCAUCUAAUUAUCUGGCAUCUAUCUGUUAGUCAUCUGUCUAUAUCUAUCUACCAUAUUUAUUCCUCUUGGCUCAGAUGGUAAAGAAUCUGCCUGCAAUGCAGGAGACCCAGGUUCAAUCCCUGGGGAGGAAAGAUCCCCUGGAGAAGGGACUGGCAACCCCCUCCAGCAUUCUUGCCUGGGAAAUCCUACGUGCAUGGGGUCAAAAAGAGUUGGACUGAACGACUAUCACUUUCGCCAUAUCUAUAAUCUAUCAAUUAUCUAUCUCCUAUCUAUCUACCUACUUAACCUAUCACAGGUAACAAGCCAGUCUCAAAUAUCAGCAGUGCCAAGAAAUCCCAACCCAGCGAUGACUCAUGUGUCUGUAUCAGAAAGGGCCGGGGUCCUCUGUGGGCUGGCUUCUUCCCACCUCCCAAGACUUGGAAUCCUCCUACAGCCCUGUGACAUGGGAUCCUUUAUCCCCAGAGAUUUUUUCCUGAUGUUAUGUUCCUAAAGGAAAUCGACCCUGAAUAUUCACUGGAAGGACUAAUGCUGAAGCUGAAGCUCCAAUCUUUGGCCACCUGAUGUGAACAGUCGACUCAUUGGAAAAGACCCUGAUGCUGGGAAA